GUAGGUGAACCUGCGGAAGGAUCAUUAACAAGUCAAGUGGUACUGGGUCUGCCUGUGGCAGAUCCCCCCAGUAUACACAUAAACCCGAACCCGUGCAGUAAAAUGCCGGGCCAGGUGUUGCAUAGGAUCCUUAACGGGAUCCCGUGCAGCGGAGAGGCGCAAGCCGAUCCACAUAGACGCUUGUAUAUGUUUGACAGAGUAUGAUACACUUAUUAAAAUGACAACUUUUAACAAUGGAUCUCUUGGCUCUU
rnacentral:misc_RNA from 1 species